rnacentral:rRNA from 1 species
CGCUGGCGGCGUGCUUACACAUGCAAGUCGAGCGGAAAGGCCCUUCGGGGUACUCGAGCGGCGAACGGGUGAGUAACACGUGAGCAACCUGCCCCUGGCUCUGGGAUAGCUCCGGGAAACCGGGAUUAAUACCGGAUAUGACCCCCUUCUGCAUGGUGGGGGGUGGAAAGUUUUUCGGCUGGGGAUGGGCUCGCGGCCUAUCAGCUUGUUGGUGGGGUGAUGGCCUACCAAGGCGACGACGGGUAGCCGGCCUGAGAGGGCGGGCGGCCACACUGGGACUGAGACACGGCCCAGACUCCUACGGGAGGCAGCAGUGGGGAAUAUUGCGCAAUGGGCGGAAGCCUGACGCAGCGACGCCGCGUGGGGGAUGAAGGCCUUCGGGUUGUAAACCUCUUUCAGCAGGGACGAAGGGCGACUGACGGUACCUGCAGAAGAAGCGCCGGCUAACUACGUGCCAGCAGCCGCGGUAAUACGUAGGGCGCAAGCGUUGUCCGGAAUUAUUGGGCGUAAAGAGCUCGUANGCGGCCUGUCGCGUCUGCUGUGAAAUCCCGGGGCUUAACCCCGGGCGUGCAGUGGAUACGGGCUGGCUGGAGGCAGGCAGGGGAAAAUGGAAUU